rnacentral:rRNA from 1 species
GACAGAGGGUGCAAACGUUGUUCGGAAUUACUGGGCGUAAAGCGCGUGUAGGCGGUCGGGGCAAGUCGGAUGUGAAAGCCCAGGGCUCAACCCUGGAAGUGCACUCGAUACUGCUCGGCUAGAGUCCCGGAGAGGAUGGUGGAACUCUCGGUGUAGAGGUGAAAUUCGUAGAUAUCGAGAAGAACACCGGUGGCGAAGGCGGCCAUCUGGACGGUGACUGACGCUGAGACGCGAAAGCGUGGGGAGCAAACAGG